rnacentral:rRNA from 1 species
GCAAGUCGAGGGGUAACAUGAGAGCUUGCUCUUGAUGACGACCGGCGCACGGGUGCGUAACGCGUAUGCAACCUACCUUAUACAGAGGGAUAGCCCAUGGAAACGUGGAUUAAUACCUCAUGGUACUAUAAAGCUGCAUAGUUUAAUAGUUAAAACUUCGGUGGUAUAAGAUGGGCAUGCGUAUGAUUAGGUAGUUGGUAGGGUAAAGGCCUACCAAGCCGACGAUCAUUAGGGGUUCUGAGAGGAUUAUC